CUUCGUCCUCCAAAAUGUUUUAAAUAAUAGAAAUUUCGAGUCAAUGAUCAGAACCGUUAAAAUCGAUUUAGAGUAUUUAAAACGUCUAGAAACUAAAUUUCAUGAAUUUUAAAAAUGCAAUGAUCAGAAGAUCACAAAAUCAACCAUUUUUGACGACCUAUAUAAGCCAUUUGUUUAUUUAACAGUUUAGAACAAUCCAAACAGCUUGAUUUUUUGUAUAAAAAAUCUUUUAUGCUAUUUAGAUAACGUUCGAUGACUCUGAUCGUGAAUUGAAAAAAUCCAACAUCUAUUUUCACAAGGUUAUUUAUUUUUUACUAAUCAUUUUUCGACUAUUCAAUAAACCUGAUAACAAAUUUUAAAAUAUAUAAAAUUUAGUUUCUAGACAUUAUAAUAAAUACUCUUAACUAUUCCGAUCAUCGAUUUGGAAUCUCUAUCAUCUAAAACUGAUGAUUUAGAAGGACGAAGCGCUCC
rnacentral:lncRNA from 1 species